UACAGAGGGUGCGAGCGUUGUCCGGAAUCACUGGGCGUAAAGGGCGCGUAGGUGGCGCGGGGCGCGUGCCGUGAAAGCCCGGGGCUCAACCCCGGGUCGGCGGUGCGAACGGCCGUGCUCGAGCGUACGAGAGGCAGGCGGAAUUCCGGGUGUAGCGGUGGAAUGCGUAGAGAUCCGGAAGAACACCGGUGGCGAAGGCGGCCUGCUGGCGUACGGCUGACACUGAGGCGCGACAGCGUGGGGAGCAAACAGG
rnacentral:rRNA from 1 species